GGAUCCAGACUUUGAUUCUGGCUCAGGAUGAACGCUAGCUACAGGCUUAACACAUGCAAGUCGAGGGGAAACGACAUCGAAAGCUUGCUUUUGAUGGGCGUCGACCGGCGCACGGGUGAGUAACGCGUAUCCAACCUGCCCACCACUUGGGGAUAACCUUGCGAAAGUAAGACUAAUACCCAAUGACGUCUCUAGAAGGCAUCUGAAAGAGAUUAAAGAUUUAUCGGUGAUGGAUGGGGAUGCGUCUGAUUAGCUUGUUGGCGGGGUAACGGCCCACCAAGGCGACGAUCAGUAGGGGUUCUGAGAGGAAGGUCCCCCACAUUGGAACUGAGACACGGUCCAAACUCCUACGGGAGGCAGCAGUGAGGAAUAUUGGUCAAUGGACGAGAGUCUGAACCAGCCAAGUAGCGUGCAGGAUGACGGCCCUAUGGGUUGUAAACUGCUUUUAUAAGGGAAUAAAGUGAGUCUCGUGAGACUUUUUGCAUGUACCUUAUGAAUAAGGACCGGCUAAUUCCGUGCCAGCAGCCGCGGUAAUACGGAAGGUCCGGGCGUUAUCCGGAUUUAUUGGGUUUAAAGGGAGCGUAGGCCGGAGAUUAAGCGUGUUGUGAAAUGUAGACGCUCAACGUCUGCACUGCAGCGCGAACUGGUUUCCUUGAGUACGCACAAAGUGGGCGGAAUUCGUGGUGUAGCGGUGAAAUGCUUAGAUAUCACGAAGAACUCCGAUUGCGAAGGCAGCUCACUGGAGCGCAACUGACGCUGAAGCUCGAAAGUGCGGGUAUCGAACAGGAUUAGAUACCCUGGUAGUCCGCACGGUAAACGAUGGAUGCCCGCUGUUGGUCUGAAUAGGUCAGCGGCCAAGCGAAAGCAUUAAGCAUCCCACCUGGGGAGUACGCCGGCAACGGUGCAAC
rnacentral:rRNA from 1 species